rnacentral:misc_RNA from 1 species
GGUUCGAUUCUGGCUCCAGAUUGAACGCUGGCGGGAUGCUUUACACAUGCAAGUCGAACGGCAGCACGGACUUCGGUCUGGUGGCGAGUGGCGAACGGGUGAGUAAUGUAUCGGAACGUGCCUAGUAGCGGGGGAUAACUACGCGAAAGCGUAGCUAAUACCACAUACGCCCUUCGAAAGCGGGGACCUUCGGGCCUCGCAUAUUAGAGCGGCCGAUAUCGGAUUAGCUAGUUGGUGGGAGUAACGGCUCACCAAGGCGACGAUCCGUAGCUGGUUUUGAGAGGACGACCAGCCACACUGGGACUGAGACACGGCCCAGACCGAAGUCCGUGCUGCCACGUUCGACUUGUAAAAAACAUCCCGCCAGCGUUCAAUCUGAGCCAGAAUCGAACC